rnacentral:lncRNA from 10 species
UUUUUGGCAGAAUCAUUGACGUAUACAGUUUCUUAGACUAUAUCUGUACAUUAAAAACUUAACAGCAACUGUAUUGUCAAUUUGAAAUCAAUAUAUCUUCUAGAUGAGGCAAAAUUUUCUGGUGGUUGAAGUCGUAAAUUGGUGGGCAGGAACAUUUUACUAAAAAGGUAGAUUUGUAAAAGGAAGGGAAAAUUAAAGUUUUGCAUAUUAAUCAGAAAGUUGCUCCAUGAUAUAAGAGGUGAUACGGAAAAUCUUAUAGGAUCCCUAAGUGAGUACACACAAAAGGUCAGGGAUUGGAGAUAACAUCGAAGGUUUGGACUCAGUUGUAUGUUUGCUAUGAUUAUGGAGAUAAAUAACAUGGGUAACCAUAUAAUAAAACACUUCUGGUAAAAUAAAUGUAUACUCUAAUAAAGGGAAGAUAUACUGUGAGGGCAAGUCCGAAAAGUUAGAAAAAAUAUUAAUGGGUUAAAGAAGAAUAUAAACUGGAUUAUUUGAAGAAAGCAUUGUAAUGCAACCCUGAACUCAUCAUUUUAAGAAUUAUUGAUAAUUUAAACUAGGAAUCCAAAUUCUUACAUGCAAACAUAAAUUCUUAAAGCAUCAUAUAAGCCUAAGGUAAUUCUCUAAAGUUCCAUUAAGGUUCCUCUUUAGAAGUUCAGUGUUACAAAAGAGAUGCAUGAAUACAUUCAGGCAUUAAGAACAAACAUAUUUUCUGGGCAUGGUGGCUCAUGCCUAUAAUCCCAGCACUUCAGGAGGCUGAGUCGGACACAUCACGAGAUCUUGCC